UACGUAGGGUCCGAGCGUUGUCCGGAGUUACUGGGCGUAAAGGGCGCGCAGGUGGCGGUGUUGGCCCGGCGUGAAAGCCCCCGGCUCAACCGGGAAGGGUCGUCGGGGACCGCACCGCUUGAGGGCGGUAGGGGCUGGUGGAAUGCCUGGUGUAGUGGUGAAAUGCGUAGAGAUCAGGCGGAACACCCGUAGCGAAGGCGGCCAGCUGGGCCGUCCCUGACACUGAGGCGCGAAGGCGUGGGGAGCGAACGGG
rnacentral:rRNA from 1 species